ACUCCGUAGCGGGAGGCAGCAGGUAAGGAAUCUUCCGACGAAUGGCGAAAGCCUGACGGAGCAACGCCGCGUGAGUGAUGAAGGUCUUCGGAUCGUAAACUCUGUUAUUAGGGAAGAACAAAUGUGUAAGUAACUAUGCACGUCUUGACGGUACCUAAUCAGAAAGCCAACGGCUAACUAACGUGCCAGCAGCCGCGGUAAUACGUAGGUGGCAAGCGUUAAUCCGGAAUUAUUGGGCGUAAAGCGCGCGUAGGCGGUUUUUAAGUCUGAUGUGAAAGCCACAGCUCAACCGUGGAAGGGUCAUUGGAAACAUGGAAAACUUGAGUGCAGAAGGAGGAAAGUGGAAAUUCCAUGUGUAGCGGUGAAAUGCGCAGAGAUAUGGA
rnacentral:rRNA from 1 species